AUUAAACGCUGGCGGCAUGCCUUACACAUGCAAGUCGAACGGCAGCACGGGGGCAACCCUGGUGGCGAGUGGCGAACGGGUGAGUAAAGCAUCGGAACGUGCCCUGGAGUGGGGGAUAACGUAGCGAAAGUUACGCUAAUACCGCAUAUUCUGUGAGCAGGAAAGCAGGGGAUCGCAAGACCUUGCGCUCUGGGAGCGGCCGAUGUCGGAUUAGCUAGUUGGUGGGUAAAGGCCUACCAAGGCGACGAUCCGUAGCGGGUCUGAGAGGAUGAUCCGCCACACUGGGACUGAGACACGGUCCAGACUCCUACGGGAGGCAGCAGUGAGGAAUAUUGGUCAAUGGGAGCAAUCCUGAACCAGCAAUGCCGCGUGUGGGAUGACAGGGCUUCGCCUUGUAAACCACUGUCGGACGGGACGAAAGGAGGCCUCGGGCCUCUGGGACGUACCGUCAAAGGAAGGGUCGGCUAACUACGUGCCAGCAGCCGCGGUAAU
rnacentral:rRNA from 1 species